rnacentral:lncRNA from 1 species
UUGGCAAGUUUACUUAUAAUAAUACAAUGUCAUAUUAUGUGAAGCCUUAUUUGAAAAUGCAUCGAGUACUUAAUAAUAGAAGGUAGAAAGAAAAUUGCAACAAGAAGAUUUUAACUCUAAUAAAAAUUUAAAUAAAUUCAAUUAAAUCUUUAAAAUAUUAACCAGACUUUAAUCAAAUCCAAAGAAACCUUAAAGAAAUUACAAAAGAAGCAUGAAGAAAUCCUAAAGAAAUUUAAAAGAAGUAUUAGAAUAAAAUCUUAAAUAUAUUUUAAAUAAAUUUCAAUCAAAUCUUAAUUUAAUCCUAGUUAAUAUCCUAGUAGUCCUUAACAAAAAUCUAAGUCAAACAUAACAAAUCCUAAACAAUCUUAUAUCUUAAAAAAUUCUAGGUUCUGACUAAUUCCUAAAUCCUAAAUCAAAUCCUAAAUCCUAAAUCUUAAUCAAAUCCUA